CGACCGGCGCCUGGUUCUGCUGGUUCUGGUCGGACGGCAGCCUGUUGGCGGCGUUUUCUUCCAGCAGGGGGUGCUCCAGCUCGUCUCUGUUCUCCAUUAAAGACGAACCGCUCCAGAGGCCGCAUCAACAGGCAAACCGCCGGGUCCAGAGGAAAAAAAGCACAUGACGAAUUCAUCCCAGCACCUGAAAGUUGUGUUGGAUUAUUGGAGAAGCUUUGGUCUCAAAUUUUGUUCUCAAACAGUAAAAAGUGGCAAUAAUGGUUAUUGAUAAA